UGAGGAAUAUUGGUCAAUGGGGCGAGAGCCUGAACCAGCCAAGUCGCGUGAGGGAAGAAGGUCCUACGGAUUGUAAACCUCUUUUGCCGGGGAGCAAAGGGGCCAUUGAUGGCAGGAUGAGCGUACCCGAGAAAAAGCAUCGGCUAACUCCGUGCCAGCAGCCGCGGUAAUACGGAGGAUGCGAGCGUUAUCCGGAUUUAUUGGGUUUAAAGGGUGCGCAGGCGGCGCGCCAAGUCAGCGGUCAAAGUUCCGGGCUCAACCCGGUGUCGCCGUUGAAACUGGCGUGCUCGAGUGCGUGCGAGGAAGGCGGAAUGCGUUGUGUAGCGGUGAAAUGCAUAGAUAUGACGCAGAACUCCGAUUGCGAAGGCAGCUUUCCAGCGCGCUACUGACGCUGAGGCACGAAAGCGUGGGGAUCGAACAGGAUUAGAUACCCUGGUAGU
rnacentral:rRNA from 1 species